UGGGUGGCGACCGGCAAACGGGUGCGUAACACGUACGCAACUUACCCAUUACAGGGGAAUAGCCCAGGGAAACUUGGAUUAAUACCCCAUAUUAUAUAAGAUUGGCAUCAGUCUUAUAUCAAAGCUUCGGCGGUAAUGGAUGGGCGUGCGGUUGAUUAGAUAGUUGGCGGGGUAACGGCCCACCAAGUCUACGAUCAAUAGCUGAUGUGAGAGCAUGAUCAGCCACACGGGCACUGAGACACGGGCCCGACUCCUACGGGAGGCAGCAGUAAGGAAUAUUGGGCAAUGGACGCAAGUCUGACCCAGCCAUGCCGCGUGAAGGAUGAAGGUCCUCUGGAUUGUAAACUUCUUUUAUCUGGGGCGAAAACCAUCCUUUCUAGGAUGCUUGACAGUACCAGAGGAAUAAGCACCGGCUAACUCCGUGCCAGCAGCCGCGGUAAUACGGAGGGUGCAAGCGUUAUUCGGAUUUACUGGGUUUAAAGGGUGCGUAGGCGGGCAGGUAAGUCAGUGGCGAAAUCCCCGAGCUUAACUCGGGA
rnacentral:rRNA from 1 species